rnacentral:rRNA from 1 species
UACGGAGGGGGCUAGCGUUGUUCGGAAUUACUGGGCGUAAAGCGCGCGUAGGCGGCUUUGCAAGUUAGAGGUGAAAGCCCGGAGCUCAACUCCGGAACUGCCUUUAAAACUGCAUCGCUAGAAUCAUGGAGAGGUUAGUGGAAUUCCGAGUGUAGAGGUGAAAUUCGUAGAUAUUCGGAAGAACACCAGUGGCGAAGGCGACUAACUGGACACAUAUUGACGCUGAGGUGCGAAAGCGUGGGGAGCAAACAGG